GGGCUUCUAAACCCUAACUCCUAAUAGGACUCUUACUUAAGACUCUUACUUCUAACCAACUCCUAAUAGGACUCCUACUCAAGACUCUUACUUCUAACCAACUCCUAAUAGGACUCCUACUCAAGACUUCUAUUCCUUUACAACUCCUUAUUCUUCUCUAAGAAAUAACCUCCUAACCCUAGUUGGCCACUUCACCUCUUUAAUAGGGGUCGGCUUAGGUAGGUUUUACAUGAAUGUCCCUCUC
rnacentral:lncRNA from 1 species